rnacentral:rRNA from 1 species
UACAGAGGGGGCAAGCGUUGUUCGGAAUUACUGGGCGUAAAGGGCGCGUAGGCGGCCUGUUAAGUCGAACGUGAAAUCCCCGGGCUCAACCCGGGAACUGCGUCCGAUACUGGCAGGCUUGAAUCCGGGAGAGGGAUGCGGAAUUCCAGGUGUAGCGGUGAAAUGCGUAGAUAUCUGGAGGAACACCGGUGGCGAAGGCGGCAUCCUGGACCGGCAUUGACGCUGAGGCGCGAAAGUGUGGGGAGCGAACCGG